rnacentral:lncRNA from 1 species
CAACAAACAUGAAAAAAACUCAUCGUCACUGAUCAUUAGAGAAAUGCAAAUCAAAACCACAAUGAGAUAUCAUCUCACACCAGUUAGAAUGGUGAUCAUUAAAAAGUCAGGAAACAACAGAUGCUGGAGAGGAUGUAGAGAAAUAGGAAUAGUUUUACACUGUUGGUGGGAGUGCAAAUUAGUUCAACCAUUGUGGAAGACAGUGUGGCGAUUCCUCAAGGAUCUAGAACUAGAAAUACCAUUUGACCCAGCCAUCCCAUUACUGGGUAUAUACCCAAAGGAUUAUAAAUCAUUCUACUGUAAAGACACAUGCACACGUAUGUUUAUUUAUUAUUUUUGAGACGGAGUCUUGCUCUGUUGCCAGGCUGGAGUGCAGUGGCACGGUCUCGGCUCACUGCAACCUCCACCUCCCGGGUUCAAGCGAUUCUCUUGCCUCAGCCUCCUGAGUAGCUGGAACUACAGGCACACACCACCACGCCCAGCUAAUUUUUUGCAUUUUACUAGAGAAGGGGUUUCACCAUGUUGGCCAGAAUGGUCUUGAUCUCCUGACCUCGUGAUCCACCCGCCUCAGCCUCCCAAAGUGCUGGGAUUACAGGUUUGAGCCACCGCGCCCAGCCCCGAGCACAUGUAUGUUUAUUGCGGCACUAUUCACAAUAGCAAAGACUUGGAACCAACCCAAAUGCCCAUCAAUGACAGACUGGUUAAAGAAAAUGUGGCACAUAGACACCAUGGAAUACUAUGCAGCCAUAAAAAAGGAUGAGUUCAUGUCCUUUGCAGGAUCAUGGAUGACACUGGAAACCAUCAUUCUCAGCAAACUAACACAGGAACAGAAAACCAAACACUGCAUGUUCUCACUCAUAAGUGGAAGUUGAACAAUGAGAACAUAUGGACACAGGGAGGGGAACAUCACACACCGGUGCCUGUUGGGAGGUUGGGGGCAAGGGGAGGGAUAGCAUUAGGAGAAAUACCCAAUGUAGAUGACAGGUUGAUGGGUGCAGCAAACCACCAUGGCACAUAUAUACCUAUGUAACAACGCUGCACGUUCUGCACAUGUAUCCCAGAACUUAAAGUAUAAUAAUAAUAAUAAUAAAGGAAUUGAGAGACUGUUGAUAUCAACUGUUCCCUGAGCCACAUGGAAAGCUGUAUCCUCUGCAGGCUGCUUGGUGAGUAUGUGAGGAGGUAUAUUCAUUCACUUUGAGACCUAUUUCUCUAAGAAAGGGUCCUGAAAGGCUUUCCCCUGCUACAGGGACAGCCCUUGGCAAGGAAGCCACUGUCCUCAGGCACACAGGGCUCCUUCAUCUCCUGCAACAGAUACAGCCCUUGGCAAGGAAGCCACUGUCCUUGAGCACAUAGACAGGGCUCCUUCAUCUCCUGCAACAGGGACAGCCCUUGGCAAGGAAGCCACUGCCCUUGAGCACAUAGACAGGGCUCCUUCAUCUCCUGCAACAGGGACAGCCCUUGGCAAGGAAGCCACUGUCCUUGAGCACAUAGACAGGGCUCCUUCAUCUCCUGCAACAGGGACAGCCCUUGGCAAGGAAGCCACUGUCCUUGAGCACAUAGACAGGGCUCCUUCAUCUCCUGCGACAGGGACAGCCCUUGGCAAGGAUGUCACUUCCUUGGGCACACAGACAGGGCUCCUUCAGCAGACAGCAGAUAGAUAUGCAAUGCAAGCCUUGGUUUUUUGGGAUGAUUCCAAUGCAGCACCAGAUACGUGUGUCCAAUUCUGGGGUUUGCUCAUAGGAAACCCAUGUGCCAGCAAAUCUAUGUCACAUUCUCCAGUAUCACCUUUAUAAGGAAUAAAGUCAAUUUACUGUUCUUCUGUAAAAAGAAAGAAACGUAUUCAUGACUGUAGCUUGGCUGUCACUCAAGUGCAAGUGAAUGGUGGAUGUGGCCGCGCGGCUCCACGCACUGAUUCAUAAUCCCCAAAAGGGACAAGGGCAGACCCAGCUCUCUGCAGGGCAAACGCUCCACAACCCAAAACACUUGUUUCUGUUGUUGUUGCUGUUUGGAAACUCCCUCUUCUAUUUCCCACCUCCCUCUUUCCCGUUCUCAUUCCCUUUUCUCUGCUCCUAUUUCUGUUUCCCUCAGUUCCACCUAAUACCCCGUGGUGUCACCCUAGCCCUUUCCUCUACCCACUCCAGCCUUACUACCCCCAACGUCCCACACCCUGGGAAACACCAAGGUCUGCCUCUGUACCUCCAAGUUCUUUCCCCGUUAUUGCCCUGGGUCAGUCCUUUGUGGGGGCUCCUCUCUCCUCUCUUGAUUUCUUUUCAUCUGGCUAACCUCUAAUCCUGUAAGAUUUACCUCAAAUAUCUUUCAAGAAGUAUUUUCUGAAUCCAAGGAGGACCUAAAAGCCAUUCUGCUGGCCUCCCAGAGCUGAAUCUGCCCAUCUCCCCCGGAUUAUAUUAAAAUUAUAAGUCAUGUAAAAUCCUUUUGGAACGAGACAGGGUAUGAUAAAUAAGAAAUAUUCAACAAGUAUACGUUACUUGUGUACACAUACCACCUGACUUCUUUAACAACACAUUGCAAGAAAUAAAAAGAUGGAGACAUACGGCUGGGCGCAGUGGCUAAUGCCUGUAAUCCCAGCACUUUGGGAGGCCAAGGCAGGUGGAUCACUGAGGUCAGGAGUUCGACACCAGCCUGGCCAACAUGGUGAAACCCCCAUCUCUACUAAAAAUACAAAAAUUAGCCAAGUGUGGUGGCAGGCACCUGUAAUCCCAGCUACUCGGAAGGCUGAGGCAGGAGAAUCUCUUGAACCCGGAAUGCGGAGCUUGCAGUCAAGCAAGAUUAUGCCACUGCACUCCAGCCUGGGUGACACAGCAAGACUCCAUCUCAAAAAAAAAAAAAAAAAGAAAAAGAAAAAGAAAAAACACCAUGCAUGCAUACUCAUAUGAAUGUACAAAUGGAUGAGUCUAGAACAAAAGAUACUAGCCUGAUACAUAUACAAACUAUGCAGCUGCAGUCCCUGCCUCUUCCGCAACCCUGACCUCUAAGAAAGCUCUAACUCUGAAUCCUGUCAGCACCUGGGCUGUGCUGCUUGGGACAACAUUGUCUUCACAAGUCCUCUCCACAUUCUCAGAGGUGGGGGUAUUGCCAAUGAUGGGGGUUACUGCCUGAGUCCCGUCACCAGGGGACAAAGCUACAGCAGACACCACCAUCUGCCAACAAAAAGAGAGAUCAUCUCCCACCCCUGGUUCUGCUGACGCAAUCACUGGAAGCAUCGAGGCACCACUAUGUCCUCACCUGCCUCGGAUUCAAUUUCCUCCUAGCCAGGUCUGUUCUAAGGUCUCCAGAAGUUGAGAAAUUAAUUGAAAGAUAACACUUUCCUCCCUGUGUUAAGGUUUAUCACAUAAUGUAUCCAAAUACUGGGCCAGUCUUUCCUUUGGUCUCAUUUCUAUGAGCUAAUCUGAAAAUGCCUUUUCUGUUUUCCUUAGAAUUUUUCUAAAUGUUUCUGGGCGCUUGUGUUCCUGAGGCUUUCCACAGUGCACCCUCUUGUUCAUCUGAUGUCUUUGGCACAUAUAGGCCCUCGACAGGUAGUUGUUCAAUGAACAGAUGACCAUCCUGUCCUUUGUGUGAACAAGCAUAGCAAGUGCACAUUGUAUCUGUUUGUGUAUCCAACAGCGUCCCUCCAAAGCCACUUUGUUCACUUAUUUUCUCAGGAUCACGGACGGCUGCAUCUUGACAUAAGCACACAGAAUCUUUCCUUUUCCAGUCACUUUUCCUUUUUCCAGAUUCCGGCCAUAGAAUUCCAGGCACAGAGCCAACCAUGCCUGGCACCCCCUCCUGUCUUGGGACAAGGAUACUUUCUCCUGUGGCUCCCAUCUUGCUUCCAACAUUCUUCUGCCAGAAUUCAGUUUGGCGGACAAUGACCUACUACUUUUAAUUUUUUUCCCCUUUUUGCUCUUCUACCAAAUACCGCUUUUCACCCAGGCUUUUCACUGCGUAGUGGACAAUCUAUCAAACAGGUGCUGUCCAGCGUGAGGGGCAGUUGCAAAGGUCUGCAUCGGUGCUGGCUGAUGGAACUUUCCGGUGAUGGCAUCAUUCCGUAGCUGCACUGUCCAGUGAGGAGGCUACUUGCCACUGUGGCUACUGCUUGGGAUGGUGCAGGUCUGAAUAUCUUACUCACAGCUCACCUUUUUGGUGCCUUUGAUCCGUAUUAGGAAUUAUCCACAUCUUCUCUCUGGGCAAUAUUCUACUUUUUAUAUUGACCCAAUUAUUUUACUUCUUUGGUGUGUCCUUUCUCCUAACACAUAUGGGUUCACUUUGAAACCCUGAAACCCACAUUUACAAAAACAUUUUCAAUAUGAAACAUUGUUCCAUGACUCAUUACUGGAGUACCAUCAACAUUUACAUUUCCAGACCACCCACUGCCCAGUGGUUUUCUUGGUCUCAGUACUCAUGAAAACGGUCUGAAGGUUUGUUUUGGGUUCCUAAGUAGUAGACACACGCACAACACUGCCUGUCAGUUAUUUCUUGGAAACUAAAUCAGCCCUUCUGUUGCCAUCCUAUCAUGCUUCAGGGGUGCCUGUGCUAGUUUUUAAUUCUUUGUCCUAACACUUAAAUGUUUGCUCAAACGCCCAUAUUAAUACUUCCUCUUAGUUUACAAAAGGAUUUACUUUCUUACUGGUUGGGAUGAAGCUGCCUGAGGUUGCCACCUGUUAUUUUUCCUUCAUUUAUUGGACCAUGUCAUCCCAUUACAUGUUAGCCGUGGAGGUUUUCAAACUGUGUUCCCUGGACAUGUUAGAAAUGCAAAUUCUCAGACCGAACCAGGACUGAAUCGGAAGAUCUGGGGUAGGGUCCCUCCAGGACUGAAAACGGAAGGUCUGGGGUGGGGUACCCCAGGACUGAAUCGGAAGGUCUGGGGUGGGGUCCCCCCAGGACUGAAUCGGAAGGUCUGGGGUAGCGUCCCUCCAGCUGAUCCUGUUACACAGGUUAGAGAACCAUGGCAUUAGGGGUAGCAAUUUGACAAUUCUUUUUUUUUUUUUUUGAGACAGAGUCUCACUCUUGUUGCCCAGGCUGGAGUGCAGUGGCGCACUCUCGGCUCACUGCAACCUCCGUCUCCCAGGUUCAAGCAACUCUCCUGCCUCAGCCUCCUGAGUAGCUGGGAUUACAGGCACCCAUCAUCAUGCCUGGCUAAUUUUUUGUAUUUUUAGAGAUGGGGUUUCACUAUGUUGGCCAGGCUGGGACAAUUCUUAAACUGUCAUUCUUUACUCACUUACUUGCAGGAAUUCUUAUGUAAAGAACUUUCCCUAAUCAACAAGGUUUCCCUGAAUUGCAAUUUGUAGAGAAAAGACAGGAUAAUUACUGAUCUUCCUUCAAGUGUCCAUUCCCAGUGUUAGGAGUUAGUGCCCUAGGUACCUCCAAGAGUGACCAAUUACAUGUGUUUGUUUGGUUUUGGCUUUGAAACCACCACUAUGAAUUCAUGGUUUUCAUGUAUUAGAGACCACUUUCUAGGUGCUUGAUGUGUCUACUGCUACUGGGGCAGAGGUAGAAAAUGUGUCUACGGUAAAAGAACAACAAAUGAGUUCACGCUUAUAUUUCUAUUUCAAAUUUAGUAUACGGUUUUACACCUUUUUCUCAGAAAAAUCUUGUUUUAUUUUUUGAGAUAGAGUUUUGUUCCUGUUGCCCAGGCUGGAGUGCAGUGGCACAAUCUCGGCUCACUGCAAUCUCUGCCUCCUGUUUCAAGCGAUUCUCCUGCUUCAGCCUCCCCAAUAGCUGGGAUUACAGGCACCUGCCACCAUGCCCAGCUAAUUUUUCAAUUUUAGUAGAGAUGGCGUUUCACCAUGUUGGCCAGGCUGGUCUCAAACUCCUGACCUCAGGUCAUCUGCCCACCUCGGCCUCCCAAAGUGCUGGGACUUGGGAGGAUUUUCCCUUGCCAGAAAAAUCUUAGUUUUAGCAUUAACAUAAUUAGUUAUUUGCUUUAACUCCCACCCCACAUAAUUUCAAAGGAUUAAUACCUAUAAGACGAGUAACGGAGAUGAUUGAUUGAAAUUUAGGAUUCAGUGGCUCUAUUUGUCUUUAGACUAUGGCUCACUAAAUCUGCACACUUGAAGUGCUGUGUUCUAGCGAUCCUCUGAUGACACAUGAAGUAAUAGGCUGCGUGACUGUCACCAGCCUGAUGUGCAGUUGGGCUGCAGAACCCCGUGAUGCUGCCUAGCCCAGCCAGCCCCAGGUCACUCCUCAGACUCAAACUCGAUUCUGACACCACCAGCACCCGGGACGCUGCCUAGGGGCUUUCUCUGGUGGCAGCAGCAUGUCCUGGAGCAGGCCAGGGGUGCCCGGAAUUGACCAUCCUGAACCUGUGCAGCGUGGGCUGGUGAAGGAACGCACCAGCUCCCACAGUGAACACGGGCCCAGCUGUCCACAUGAGACCCGGCUCCCGGACGCCCCAUGCUGCCGCCUCUUUCCUGUCUCACCUCCCACUUCCCUUCAGCUGCUGCUCAGGGCCACCUUCCAAAUUUUUGUCUCAGGGUUGGCGCCUGUAGAAUGCAAUCCAAGGAAUUUAGAUUCAUUCAUUUCAGAUACCAUUCUUUCAAUUUUAGGGACUAUCUUAAAAACUUAGUUUGGUAAUAUGUAAAACACU